rnacentral:lncRNA from 1 species
AGAUGACCCUGAGAGCGGAGAUGAUGCACCUUGUCACAUUCUGGAAGAAUCAGCAUACACACGAACUCAUCUCAAUGCAUUGGAAGCCCAGCAUACAUAGAAAUUCUAUUUAAAAUUUGAGUGACCUGAACACAGAACACAAGGUAUUCUGAAUUCUUUCCUGCCCCAACAUAGUGCUGCAACCAGAAACAGAAAUGAUGGCAGAAGAAAAUAACUGAGGCAGCUUCCCAAUUAGCCGUGACCACAGAGGGUAUGAGAGCAUCUACUAUUUCCUGGUUACCCAAGAUGAACACAACAAUGACUCAGAGAAGACAGAAAAACAUAAAGGGGUCCCAUGGUUUCGACAAAGGUGUACUGUCAGCAAAGGUGGUGUAGGUAGUGACAGGGACCAUGCUGGGACUGCAAACAGCAGCAGUAGAUGGUGGUGGGACAGAUGCCAGCUUCCAUAAAACAAACAGGUCCGAAUGGACAGAGGACAGUGGAAACCAGAUAUUCCUCUCCAAACUCCAACCCCAAGAUGUAAAAUAAAUCUAAGCACCCUGAAAUAUAACUAUAACUCAAGAGAAGAGAGGCUGAACCUCAAAAUACAUCCUUACUAUCAGAAGUGAUGUAAAAUCUCUGAGCUUUAUUCAGUUUACUUGAGAAUGGCAGGUAAAGUUUCCUGUUUUUAGGCAUGGUGGGUUCAAGACAGAUACUAAGAUACAAUUAAGUAAAGCAUUUUUGUAUAUCUGAGUUUGUGAAAAUUCACUUUUAUACGAACUGUUUUACUUCUCCAAUUCUGCUUUCUAAACUAACUUCCUUUCCCUCUCCUACUUGUCCUGUGUUUUUGACACAUGCUACCCUCAGACUCCGGAAAUUGAGACCCACUUCCCAUCUAACUAGAUGUCUGGGCUGCCACAUGCAUCCAGCAAAUGGCAUUGCCCAAAGUCAUUAGCUAAGUAAAUUAGCUAGAUACACACUUCUCACUAACAAGAUCUACUUUUAAAUCCACUGGUUUCCAUUUGUUUUCAAUUUUAGGGAUUUUUAAAAUUGAUUCAGUCUUGUCUCUAAAAUAAUGGUAAAAUUAACGAAUAAUCCCAAAGUCAAAGAGUAGAGGUGAAUAAAAAGAAUUUGUUAUAACAAAGCCACUCAAUUCUUUGAAUGGCGUCUGAGUUAUAUGGCAAAAAAAAAAAAUGUAUAUGGAUUCAUAAUUUUUAAAUUGCAAUCAGUCUUUCUUACAAUGAAAGCUUUUAAUUGGAAACCAACUGAAUCACAAGACUACUUGUUACCCAGACAACAGAGUGUUUCACUUUCUCAAUUUCAUUACUAAUAUUUCCAGUUGAUCCAUUUUUUGGUCCACCAGAAGUUUUGAUACCUUAGAGAAACACAUGAUAUUAAGAUAAUCAGGAAAUAGGGUUUGCUUUAAAAAAGAAAAAGGUAUAGAAACUAUUGUUAAAGGGGAAUUGGGAAAUAAUCUGAAUGAUGGAUUCUCAAGCAGAUCAAUUUUAGAAAAGAGUACAUAAUGGAAGGUGAACUGGAAGUGAAUAUCUCUUAAAACUGUCAAUGUUUAUGUCCCCCUUGGACUAUUUUUACUUCACCUUAAAGGCCAAUACUAUCUAUCAUUCUAGAGCUAGAGAUAAAGCAGUGAAAAAGACAAAGUUCUUGACCUCGAAGAAAUUGUAUUCAAUUCCGAAGACGAUUUUUUUAAGUAAAUACAUGAUCAAGGCAGAUUAUUUCAGAUAGCGGUAAGUUACUUAAAGCAUUUAAAGCACUCCUUAUUAAAGCACAAGUAUUUAUAAGGGGUGACAGGAUGCUCAAUGACUUUUGAACUGAGAACCAAGGGAUAUAAAAGGGACAGUAAUAUGAGAAAAUUUCAGGAAGAAAAAAAGUAAGUCCCAAGGUCCUGAGUCAGAAAAAGACAUGAUUAGAGAGAAGGAAGAGGGCAAUACUCAAUGAAGUUUGAGAAGAAAACAGUAGGUACCAACUGCUAGGCCAUACUCAAGAGAUGGGACCUUAUUCUAAGUGCACUGGGAAGCCACUGAAGGCUCUGGGCAUGAAAGUGGUAUGAUUUAAUAGGUUUGUAAAGAAGGAAUUACAGAGGGACCUAUUAGGAUACUAUUGCAGCACUCCAGGUAAGAAAUAGUAGAGGGUGUGAAGAACAUGGUGGCAGUGAAAAGAAUAGAGGUAUAUGGAUUUGAAAUAUGUUUUACAGGAAUGGAGACUGGUUCCUUGUGAUUUGCAAAUGCAUAACAAAAGAAAAAGGGAAAUAAUAACAACUCCUUAAUUUUUUAUUUGAGCCACUAGGAAGAUGAUUAAUCCGAGACAGCCUAAGAAAGGAAUAGGUUCGGGAAGGAAAUCUAGAGUUCCAUUAUGAAUGUGCAGAGUUUGAAAAGCUUAUUAGACUUCUAAAUGAAGGCAUCAAUUAAAUAUUUGUCUAUAUGAGAUACUCAGAGAAGAGGUCAGAUUUACAUAAAUACAUUUGAGAAUCAUUAGUAUAUAUGUUGUAUUUUAAAAAUAGGUCUAGAAGAAUGAAAUAGAUAGAAUAAGAUACAUUAGGAACAAGCUCUAAAGCAAUCCAACAUUUAGCACUCCAUGGGAUUCAGAAAAAUGAAGAUCAUUGGUGACUGACAAGACCAGUUUCACUGAAGUGACAGAGUGAGAUUAAGCAUAAGUAGGAGGUAUGAAAAUAGAGACAAGGAGCAGAAAUUGGAUGGUAGCCAGAGAUGAUGGAUCAAGACAGGAGUAGUUCUGUACUUCUUAUUUAUCAAAAGGAAGACCCUAGAGUAGUAUAUAUACUCAUCAAUACAGCCUAGUCAAUAAUGAGAAAUUGAUGCAGGACAGCAAUGAACAGUUCAAGUAUGGGCUGACAGUAGAAGAAAGUGAUUCUGUGCUUAGGCAGGACAGGUAUCAGCAGUAAGGGGACAUAUCUGAAAAGCUUAUGCAAAGGAAGAGUGAGAUCCAAAUUUUUUAAAUAACUGUGAUCCCAGGAUGCAAGCACUUCCACUUAAAAUAAUUCUCAAAAUCAAUAAAGUAGCAAUGGGAAGUGGCUUUGGGACAUUGUGAAGAAGACUAAUCAGAGGAGUUUAGUGCCAGCAGCUGGGCCAAGUGAUCCCUCCCCCCCAACCUCAUGUGUGCCACAGAACACAUUCCAGCAGCUUUUUCAGUGGUGUGCUGGUAAAGUGACUCUCCAGAAAAAGGAAAGGAGGAAGGGAAGGAGAGAGG